rnacentral:lncRNA from 1 species
CAGAACAGUCGGCCGGCCAGCGAAGAUUCAGUUGCUUCCAGCAAGUGCUCCCACGCGAGCAGGCACUCUGCCCGACUUUCUCAGAGUAAAUCAUUUCACCAUCAUGUUAGUCACCAUUCUGCAGACUCCCAUCCGUCGUGUCACAGGCCUAGAAGCUGCACUGAUACUACUUAUUUGAAAAGAUGCCACUCGACACCUCAGCAUCCCUCCUAUUCACCGUCCUAUAAACAUUACCAUCACCAACACCAUAAAGAAUGCAGCAGCUCAAGUCCACACCAUCACCACAGGGACCACCACAACACCAGUCAUUACCGUCACCAUUGGCAUCGCCCCAUAGCUAUCUAUCGUCAUGGAGAUACCCACAACACCUCUCAUCAAUACAGAGACCACCACAACACCACCCAUAGCCACCAUCACAGAGACCUCUAUAUCCCAACACAUCAUUAUGAUGGCCACCACCUUGCACCUCAUUCUCAUCACCAUGGGGACCAUCAUGAUCCUGCUUGUCACCGUCACCAUGGGGACCAGUAUGGUCAUGCUCGUCAUCAUGGAGCCCACCACAACCUAAGUCACCACUCCUCAACACAUCACCAAGAUCAUUACAGUGCAGGUCACCGCCACAACAAAAACAUAGAGCGCCCUACUAUACCUCAUCAUCAUGGACACCACAGCCAUUGCAGUGACCUUGGAGACAAUCACAGAGAUCAUCACAACUCAUCCCAUCAUCACCAUCCUCGAGAUCAACAUCAUCACAGCCCUGGUCGUCAUCAUCAUCUUGGAGACCCCCAUAGUCUAACCCCCCACCAUCACCAAAGGGACUCUCUUAAGCAUCACCAUGGAGAUCCCCUCAGGCCAGUGCAUCAGCAUCACCAAGGAGACCAUCAUCAAGAUCAUCAUAGUCCAAGCAGUAGGAGUCAUCAAGCCCACCACAAUGAAAUUCAGCAGCGUUGCCUUGGAGACCACCCCAGUCCCGAUCUUCACUAUCACCAUAAGGACCUCCACACUCAAAGCAAUCAGCAUUACCAUGAACAACAUCUCCAGCUAGGCCAACACUAUCAUCAUGGAGACCAAUACAGUCAAAGCCAUCAGCAUCACCCUAGAGACAACCACAGUGAAAUUCAUCAACAUCACUGCGGAGACUAUCAUACUCCAGACCACCAGCACCAUCAUGAAGACCCCCUCUCUGAAUGUAGUAAACAUCACCAUGGGAAUCACACAAGUCUGGAUAAUGAGCACCUCUAUGUAGCCCAUCAAAGUGAAUCUCACCAACAUCAACAUGGAGACCAUCAUAGUCCAGUCCAUCAGCACCAACAAGGAGAUCUACACAGUCCAGCCCAUCAGCACCAACAUGGAGAACUACAUAGUCCAGUCCAUCAGCACCAACAUGGAGACCUACACAGUCCAGCCCAUCAGCACCAACAUGGAGACCUACACAGUCCAGCUCAUC